GAUAUUCAAUUAUAAUUAUAAUUUAUUUAGAGAAUUUACUCAGAAUAAACAGAUCCUGAACUUAAUAACAAUGUAAGGAUGCUGGGCAAAAAAACAUAUUGAUCCAAUUUUGAACAAAGCAAAAACAUAAAUCACUUCCAAGAAGAAAAAGAGUUCAUUAUUUAGAAUAUUUUGAUUAAUUUCAUGUAAUCUUGCUAAAUCAAAACCAGUAUUCUACUGUCAUGAGGAAUUUAACAAAUGAAUCUGAAUGACAGGAGAACUAAAUUUAGAAUCUGUGAAUCUACUUUUUAAAUUUCAUAAUUUUAGUGAGAUUUUUAAGUUUUCUGAUAUCAUUAAGACAUCUCUUACAGCUGUUACUUUAGAGAAUUAACUCAACUAUUGAAAUCAAAAGGAAUUUCUCUUUUCCUUGGUAUUAGAUCAUAUAGUAACCCUACUCAUUCUCUUGUAUGAGGUAACGAAAUCCAGCACUGAUAUAGGAAAAACACACAUAUAAGUCCCUCUGGAAACUAUUAUAGUUUUCUUACUAGUUAAAUGAAUUGUAUGAAUUCAAUUAUUCUAUCAGUCACAUUUCAUGAAUGUCCUACCAAUAUUCCUCACUUAGUGGCAUCUCUAUACAAGAAGAAUUUUAGGAAUUUGAGGAAAGAGAAAGCUAAAAGAGGAAUAAUAAUGAAGAGCUACAAAAUUGAUAUCCCUCCUAUACAUCUAUGCCAUACAUGAUACAUAACAGAUAUAUUUUCUUAAAGAUUUUUUGGCAUAUAUAUUAAAUGUGGGGGUUUUGGUAUAUCAAUUACACAUCAAUAAAGCUUUUUAAAAAAGAUAUUUAUCUUUUUAUUUAUCUAUUUAGAUAGAUAUUAAUCUAUUUAGAUAAAAACCACAACCGGAUUUCAGUACUAUACUGAGUAGUUAUAGCAAUAAUAAUAAUAAUAAUAAUAGCACAAUUGAUAAAAAUUUAGAAUUCAGCGUUUUGUGACUUAAUUCAAUUUCAACUCUGUUGUUAUCUUACUCCUACCAGUAAUUCUAAGAAAUAUGGGCCUAAACAGUAACAUGCAUAUGCAUGGACAAAGGCCUGAGGAACCCACUCUGACCCUCCUCUGAAUGUUUUGAAACUCCAUAGAACAGAGUCUCAAAGACUAAAGGACAUUUUCACUUGGAUCGCAUGCCUCCCUAUUUCGGCCAAGAGGAUCCAAGGUAUCUGGGAUCUCUGCAUUGCUUAUCCAAAUGACUCCAAGCCUACUUUCAAGUCCUGCCCACUUCCCAUGGUCAAAUUACUAAGCAUGAAGCCAAACAAAGUGUAGUUACUUGAGUGAGUGUUGACAGACCUUGGUUUGUAGAAACAAGGUAGCCAUAGCCAUGUACGUGCCUAUGGAUAUGCACAUCAUGGUCAAGAUGGAGUGAACAGUUGGAAGAUGACAGUGGCAGGCGUGAGUCAGGGAACUGGUUCCCGCUACUCUACUACAUCCUAGAGGAAAACACAGAAGCCUGAAAUUCUGCAUUUUAACCUGGCCUUCUUCUAGAUAUCAUAAAGAGCUACUUGCUAAUGUCAGAAGAUCAGAACUUUUUAGUAUUUGGAAACAUAGGAUAAUGGUCUAUAUUGACACUCUCAUCCUGGGAUCUGCAAAUACAGAUCUGGAUUCUGAUUGUAAUUGGAAGGUCACAGUCCAGGUUGUAAGUACUGAAGUGAUGAUA
rnacentral:lncRNA from 1 species